UUCGUACCGGUACGAGCUGUUGGAAGUUUUCCUCAAAGGGAUCACUCAGCCGUCGUAACCACAGGCUCAUGCAUAAGACUGUUGUGGACAUAAUGCUUUUACCCUCGCGGCUUCGUUGGCGGAAUUUCGUGAGGUUCCCCAACUGCAGGCCUCAUGUCCAUGGACAACACGACAUCCUCAUACCUGUGUCGUUGCAGCACGCUCAUCAGCAAAUAAUUAUGCCACGCUGCUAUAGUGAACAUUACCAUACGGGCGUACCGUCAGGACGUGCCAGGAUACGGUACAGGGCUGAAGUGCGGACGCCAAGAUAAGGUUCGUGUGGCCUUUGCAACGUAUGUGCCACGUCUCGACCUGAGGCUACCCUUUAUUUCAACUCCAACAUGUCUGGGCCUGUUAUGUCCGGAAACAAGGCAGGGACAGAUGGCGGCACGAGGACAAUGCGGGACGUUCUUGCAUGAUUAGCUAUAAGCCAAGAGGAACUAGGCUGGCCACUGACGCCGAAUUCCAGAUAUUCAGGACAGAGAGAAGGAAAGCGGUCAAGCUUGUUGAAUGUAAACGGGGUUAUCUCUUGAGAGCGAAAAAGCUGCACAGUCCA
rnacentral:lncRNA from 1 species